rnacentral:rRNA from 1 species
GACGAACGCUGGCGGCGUGCUUAACACAUGCAAGUCGAACGAUGAAACCUAGCUUGCUAGGUCGAUUAGUGGCGAACGGGUGAGUAACACGUGACUAACCUGCCCCUUUCUCUGGGAUAACGCUCCGAAAGGAGUGCUAAUACCGGAUACUCACACCGAGGCACAUGCCUUGGUGUGGAAAGUUUUUCGGAAAGGGAUGGAGUCGCGGCCUAUCAGCUUGUUGGUGAGGUAACGGCUCACCAAGGCGACGACGGGUAGCCGGCCUGAGAGGGCGACCGGCCACACUGGGACUGAGACACGGCCCAGACUCCUACGGGAGGCAGCAGUGGGGAAUAUUGGUCAAUGGACGCAAGUCUGAACCAGCCAUGCCGCGUGCAGGAUGACGGUCCUAUGGAUUGUAAACUGCUUUUGUACGAGAAGAAACACUCCUUCGUGAAGGAGCUUGACGGUAUCGUAAGAAUAAGGAUCGGCUAACUCCGUGCCAGCAGCCGCCGUAA